rnacentral:tRNA from 1 species
GUGCUCAUAGUUCAACGGAUAGAACAUAUCCCUCCGAAGGAUAAAAUUGAGGUUCAAUUCCUCAUGAGCGCA